rnacentral:rRNA from 1 species
UACAGAGGUGGCAAGCGUUGUUCGGAAUUACUGGGCGUAAAGGGCGCGUAGGCGGCCUACUAAGUCAGACGUGAAAUCCCCCGGCUUAACCUGGGAACUGCGUCUGAUACUGGACGGCUUGAGUAUGGGAGAGGGAUGUAGAAUUCCAGGUGUAGCGGUGAAAUGCGUAGAUAUCUGGAGGAAUACCGGUGGCGAAGGCGGCAUCCUGGACCGGCAUUGACGCUGAGGAGCGAAAGCCAGGGGAGCAAACGGG